UACAGAGGGGGCAAGCGUUGUUCGGAAUUACUGGGCGUAAAGGGCGCGUAGGCGGCCUUCUAAGUCGAACGUGAAAUCCCCGGGCUCAACCCGGGAACUGCGUCCGAUACUGGAAGGCUUGAAUCCGGGAGAGGGAUGCGGAAUUCCAGGUGUAGCGGUGAAAUGCGUAGAUAUCGGAAGGAACACCGGUGGCGAAAGCGGCGCGCUGGACCCCUUCUGACGCUGAGGCGCGAAAGCCAGGGGAGCAAACGGG
rnacentral:rRNA from 1 species